UACGAAGGGGGCUAGCGUUGCUCGGAAUCACUGGGCGUAAAGGGUGCGUAGGCGGGUCUUUAAGUCAGGGGUGAAAUCCUGGAGCCCAACUCCAGAACUGCCUUUGAUACUGAAGAUCUUGAGUUCGGGAGAAGUGAGUGGAACUGCGAGUGUAGAGGUGAAAUUCGUAGAUAUUCGCAAGAACACCAGUGGCGAAGGCGGCUCACUGGCCCGAUACUGACGCUGAGGCACGAAAGCGUGGGGAGCAAACAGG
rnacentral:rRNA from 1 species